rnacentral:rRNA from 1 species
AACGAACGCUGGCGGCAUGCUUAACACAUGCAAGUCGAACGGGGUUCCUGUGUUUACAUGGGGACUUAGGUGGCAGACGGGUGAGUAACGCGUGGGAACGUACCCUUCGGUUCAGGGCAACGACUGGAAACGGUCGCUAAUACUGGAUACGCCCUUUUGGGGAAAGGUUUAUUGCCGAGGGAGCGGCCCGCGUUUGAUUAGGUAGUUGGUGGGGUAAAGGCCUACCAAGCCGAUGAUCAAUAGCUGGUUUGAGAGGAUGAUCAGCCACACUGGGGCUGAGACACAGCCCGGACUCCUACGGGAGGCAGCAGUGGGGAAUAUUGGACAAUGGGGGCAACCCUGAUCCAGCGAUGCCGCGUGAGUGAUGAAGGCCUUCGGGUUGUAAAGCUCUUUUGUGAGGGAGGAUGAUGACGUUACCUCACGAAUAAGCCCCGGCUAACUUCGUGCCAGCCGCCGCAGUAAAAC